rnacentral:rRNA from 1 species
AGAGCGAACGCUGGCGGCAGGCCUAACACAUGCAAGUCGAACGGACCCUUCGGGGGUUAGUGGCGGACGGGUGAGUAACACGUGGGAACGUGCCUUUUGGUUCGGAAUAGCUCCUGGAAACGGGUGGUAAUGCCGAAUGUGCCCUUCGGGGGGAAAGAUUUAUCGCCAUUAGAGCGGCCCGCGUCUGAUUAGCUAGUUGGUGAGGUAAUGGCUCACCAAGGCGACGAUCAGUAGCUGGUCUGAGAGGAUGACCAGCCACAUUGGGACUGAGACACGGCCCAAACUCCUACGGGAGGCAGCAGUGGGGAAUCUUGCGCAAUGGGCGAAAGCCUGACGCAGCCAUGCCGCGUGAAUGAUGAAGGUCUUAGGAUUAGUAAAAUUCUUUCACCGGGGUACAUAAAUGACGGUACCCGAGAAACGAACGCCCCGGCUAACCUUCGUGCCCAGCAGCCGC